rnacentral:tRNA from 1 species
GGCCGCGUGGCCUAAUGGUUAAGGCGCUGGUUUUCGGUUUUGUCUUUAUUUAGGCGAAAAUCUGUCCACCAGAGAUUGUGUGUUCAAAUCACACCGUGGUCG